CCACUACAAUAUAAACUUUAUAUCAAAUAAUGCAAUCACAUUAACUCCUGUAGCUAGUUAUAUAUAAGUCCUCAUAUAUAUAUUCAACAGUGUAACUCAAAUACACAUCAGUAAAUUCCAUUAUUAUAGUAUCUAAUUACCUUGAAUCAUAAAGCUCCAUUUUCAUUUUCUUUCCAGAUUGCACUCCCUUGCCCUUUCCUCUACCUCUACGCUUCACCAUACUCUCGCUGUAAUAUAUUUUUUUGUAAAUCCCAAUGUAAUAUAUGAAAAUUAUAUACUAAAAAUUAACAUUGAUAAUAAGU
rnacentral:lncRNA from 1 species